rnacentral:rRNA from 1 species
GGAAAAGAAACCAACAGGGAUUGCCUCAGUAACGGCGAGUGAAGCGGCAAUAGCUCAAAUUUGAAAUCUGGCGUCUUCGGCGUCCGAGUUGUAAUUUGUAGAGGAUGCUAUUGAGUUGUCACCGGUCUAAGUUCCUUGGAACAGGACGUCAUAGAGGGUGAGAAUCCCGUAUGUGACCGGCCAGACGCUCUCUGUAUAGCUCCUUCGACGAGUCGGGUUGUUUGGGAAUGCAGCCCUAAAUGGGAGGUAAAUUUCUUCUAAAGCUAAAUACCGGCCAGAGACCGAUAGCGCACAAGUAGAGUGAUCGAAAGAUGAAAAGCACUUUGGAAAGAGAGUUAAAAAGCACGUGAAAUUGUUGAAAGGGAAGCGCUUGCAAUCAGUCUCGACGGCGGCUGUUCGGCCUCUCUUCUGAGUGGUUUAUUCAGUCGCCGCCGGGCCAGCAUCAGUUCUGGCGGUCGGAUAAAGACGCGGGGAAUGUAGCUCCCCUCGGGGAGUGUUAUAGCCUCGCGUGCAAUACGGCCUGCCGGGACUGAGGUCCGCGCUUCGGCUAGGAUGCUGGCGAAAUGGUUGUAAGCGGCCCGUCUUGAAACACGGACCAAGGAGUCUAACAUCUAUGCGAGUGUUUGGGUGUCAAACCCGUACGCGUAAUGAAAGUGAACGGAGGUGGGAACCGCAAGGUGCACCAUCGACCGAUCCUGAUGUCUUCGGAUGGAUUUGAGUAAGAGCAUAGCUGUUGGGACCCGAAAGAUGGUGAACUAUGCCUGAAUAGGGUGAAGCCAGAGGAAACUCUGGUGGAGGCUCGCAGCGGUUCUGACGUGCAAAUCGAUCGUCAAAUUUGGGUAUAGGGGCGAAAGACUAAUCGAACCAUCUAGUAGCUGG